ACCAGCUCUUCAAGUGGUCGGGAUAAUUAUUGGGCUUAAAGUGUCCGUAGCCGGUUUAGUAAGUUCCUGUAAAAUCGGGUAGCUUAACUAUCUAUAUGCUAGGAAUACUGCUAUACUAGAGGGCGGGAGAGGUCUGAGGUACUACAGGGGUAGGGGUGAAAUCUUAUAAUCCUUGUAGGACCACCAGUGGCGAAGGCGUCAGACUGGAACGCGCCUGACAGUGAGGGACGAAAGCCAGGGGAGCGAACCGGAUUAGAUACCCGGGUAGUCCUGGCUGUAAACGAUGCAUACUAGGUGAUGGCACGGCCAUGAGCCGUGUCAGUGCCGUAGGGAAACCGUUAAGUGUGCCGCCUGGGAAGUACGGUCGCAAGGCUAAAACUUAAAGGAAUUGGCGGGGAGCACCACAAGGGGUGAAGCCUGCGGUUC
rnacentral:rRNA from 1 species